GUGCUCAGUUCAGCAGCACAUAUACUAAAAGUGGAACAAUACAGAGAAGAUUAACAUGGGCCCGGGGCAAGGAUGACAUGUAAAUUUGUGAGGCAUUCCAGAAUAAG